GAUGAACGCUGGCGGCGUGCCUAAUACAUGCCAGUAGAACGCUGAAGGAGGAGCUUGCUCUUCUGGAUGAGUUGCGAACGGGUGAGUAACGCGUAGGUAACCUGCCUGGUAGCGGGGGAUAACUAUUGGAAACGAUAGCUAAUACCGCAUGACAACAGUUAUUGCAUGAUAACUGUUUAAAAGGGGCAACUGCUCCACUACCAGAUGGACCUGCGUUGUAUUAGCUAGUUGGUGAGGUAACGGCUCACCAAGGCGACGAUACAUAGCCGACCUGAGAGGGUGAUCGGCCACACUGGGACUGAGACACGGCCCAGACUCCUACGGGAGGCAGCAGUAGGGAAUCUUCGGCAAUGGACGGAAGUCUGACCGAGCAACGCCGCGGGAGUGAAGAAGGGUUUCGGAUCGUAAAGCUCUGUUGUAAGAGAAGAACGAGUGUGAGAGUGGAAAGUUCACACUGUGACGGUAUCUUAACAGAAAGGGACGGCUAACUACGUG
rnacentral:rRNA from 1 species